UGAAACCCUACCCUAGGACCCGAAGCUCCUGAACGACCGAAUGCGGAACGCCCUCAUUGUACAGGUUUGAAUUUAUAAUUUCUUUGUUUUAAAUUUCAGUUAAGUUCAUGUAUGUGUUCGUUGUUUGGGCUUCUGGGAUUAAAUUUCAAUUUAGUUCAGAUUUAUUGUUGGUAUCAAAUUUAAUUUAAUUUUAAUUUUUUUAAGGUUAAUCAUGUGAAGGGCUUCUGGGGACUCGGCAAUAGGAAUCUAAAUUUACUCAAGAAAUACAACGAAAUACUAGGAUUGGGUCACUGGAGAGAAAUUUCAGCUAUCAAAGUGGGGCUAAUUGCAAGAUAUUUUGAAGAGGACAGAGUUAAGAGGGGUAUGGAAAAAUACAUUUCACAAUAAGCACAAUAGUGACUAUUAUGAGUGAAGGAAUGAAGCAAAAAACACAUGGACAGAGAGCUGCAAUUAAUUUGCUUUCCAUAAAUUCAUCAACCUGACAACCUCGUAUCUUCAAAUUUUUCGAUGAUGCGUAGAGUAUAGUUUGAUGCUGUUAAAGAAGAGUUUGCCAUUUAUGGUGGUGUUUUGUGAAGGGCAGCGACUGUAGACUGGUUGGCGACGAUGUUGACGAGGUGGCUGUAGAUUUGGUUUUGGGUUUAGGAAGUCGGGUGGGGUGGGUAUAGGGAAGUGAUUUUGAGUUAAUUUGUAGAAAUUAUUUUUUAAUUUCAUAUCGAUAAAGGUUUGUUCGGUGAUAUGGAGUUCACAUGUACACGUCUCUUUAACAUGUGAAUGAAGAAUUUUAACAACCACCGACUGGCCGACUGGGAUUAUGUAAUUAGAGUUUUGUGAAAUGCAUUUAGAAUAAUUCUAGAGUUUGUCCUUCUAAAAAACUUUUUAUUUAAUAUUUUUUAGCUUUGCUGAAUAGGUUUAGUUUUAAAUUUUUAAUAAGAUUUAUUUGUGGACCUGUGUACUUUUUUUAAUUGGAAUUUGGCUUUAGUGAACCCAUUAACGAGUUAUGGCAUCACAUAUUAAUGGCACUUUGGACCUUGAGCAAAUCCUUUGUACAGAGAAUGAAGUUUAACUUUGAUAUUUAUGUGUUUUAGUCACUAAUUUAAACCAUUUAAAAGCAAAAAGAGUCACAAUUAAAGUUACUACAAAUUAAUGUCUGUUCAAUUAGUUUUCUUUCCACCGUUCUAUUUUCUUUUUUGAUAUAGUUUUGUAAUAGGAAUGCUUAACUAAUUAUUUUCUUAAGCUUAGAGCUAUGAGAUUAUAAAAAUUGAGAUAUUCUUUUGGCAUUUUAGUAGCAAAAUGACAAUUAGCAUUUAAGUGUCAAAAUGAGAAUUACCUAACUUACCUUGUCUUCAUGUGAUUUAAAUGUUGUUUACUUUGGGUUUGGAUAUGUCAUUCACUUUCAUUCCCUGCCCAGAUUUACAAUGCAUCUCUCUCUGACUCUCUCUCUCUCUCGGUCUCUACAGAUUCAGUGAUCUCAUGGAAUAGGGUCAGAAACAGUUUUAUUGUUUGGGAUUUUUACAAAUUUUCCACUAUUCUGCUGCCUAGAUACUUCAAGCACAGCAAUUUUUCCAGUUUCAUUUUGUCUGGUGAAUCCAAUACUUUUUCUUGUAAGUAAUUGAUCAUUUAUAAUUAUCUUCUACCAUUUAUGUAUACUUAUGUUUAAUACAAUAUUUGGAUCUGGAUAUGAGUUUAUGAUAAUUCUUAGAUUUGGUGUUAAUUUUUAACUAGUUAUAAUAUUUUUGAAAG
rnacentral:lncRNA from 1 species